GGGGAAUAUUGCACAAUGGGGGAAACCCUGAUGCAGCGACGCCGCGUGGAGGAAGAAGGUCUUCGGAUUGUAAACUCCUGUUGUUGAGGAAGAUAAUGACGGUACUCAACAAGGAAGUGACGGCUAACUACGUGCCAGCAGCCGCGGUAAAACGUAGGUCACAAGCGUUGUCCGGAAUUACUGGGUGUAAAGGGAGCGCAGGCGGGAAGACAAGUUGGAAGUGAAAUCUAUGGGCUCAACCCAUAAACUGCUUUCAAAACUGUUUUUCUUGAGUAGUGCAGAGGUAGGCGGAAUUCCCGGUGUAGCGGUGGAAUGCGUAGAUAUCGGGAGGAACACCAGUGGCGAAGGCGGCCUACUGGGCACCAACUGACGCUGAGGCUCGAAAGUGUGGGUAGCAAACAGGAUUAGAUACCCUGGUAGUCCACGCCGUAAACGAUGAUUACUAGGUGUUGGAGGAUUGACCCCUUCAGUGCCGCAGUUAACACAAUAAGUAAUCCACCUGGGGAGUACGACCGCAAGGUUGAAACUCAAAGGAAUUGACGGGGGCCCGCACAAGCAGUGGAGUAUGUGGUUUAAUUCGACGCAACGCGAAGAACCUUACCAAGUCUUGACAUCCUGCGACGAUGCUGGAAACAGUAUUUUCCUUCGGGACGCAGAGACAGGUGGUGCAUGGUUGUCGUCAGCUCGUGUCGUGAGAUGUUGGGUUAAGUCCCGCAACGAGCGCAACCCUUACUGUCAGUUACUACGCAAGAGGACUCUGGCAGGACUGCCGUUGACAAAACGGAGGAAGGUGGGGAUGACGUCAAAUCAUCAUGCCCUUUAUGACUUGGGCUACACACGUACUACAAUGGCGUUAAACAAAGAGAAGCAAGACCGCGAGGUGGAGCAAAACUCAGAAACAACGUCCCAGUUCGGACUGCAGGCUGCAACUCGCCUGCACGAAGUCGGAAUUGCUAGUAAUCGUGGAUCAGCAUGCCACGGUGAAUACGUUCCCG
rnacentral:rRNA from 1 species